AGUCAAGCAGGAAGCCAAUGGGCAUGGUAAAAGGGUGUGCCACUGACACAAAUCACGUAACCUGCCAAAAGGGGCGAACAUACCCAAAAAGAGGACAUGUCUGCUCAAAGAAUUAGAAAGCCAGCCUGGCAUGAAUGCAUGUCAGGCUGCCUGCCAAUCAUGCAGCUGGCCAACUAAGGGCAUACUAUGCAGACAGCACCCUGAGCUUGGCAUAAAUGCAUCUAA